rnacentral:pre_miRNA from 1 species
CCAACAUUCGGACCUUCAGCCUACCGAGCAAUAUCGUCCGCUCAGUGGAAGAUCAUCCCUUCAUCGU